GGGUGGGAGGGAGGGAGAGAUUCCAUACAGGAAAUCAGCGAGGAGGUUAUCGCAGUUUUCUUUUAUAUUCCAGGCAUGAGAACUGCUCUUGUUUCCUGAAGGAACAGGGUCUGGAAGAAGGCUGUUAACCAGCCAGGAGGGCUUCUCCAGGCUUCGUUCCUCAGGCGCCAGACAACUCAGGGUUGGCUGCCGCUCUUCCCCUGGACAAAUGAAGAGAAGAGGUGCCACCAGCACCCACUCUUGGCUGCCAGACUGCGUCUCACCUGGAAUGCAGGGCUUCAGUUCCUCAUCAUGAGGGAGAGCGCACACCACCUCCAGCCACCAGGAAGCUCUCUGAUGGCGUGGGAAGGCUCUCCUUCUCCCACCCUCUUGGCCCGGAAAUCCUUACAUUCUGAGACCUCAUUCCACUUUUGGGGUCCCAAGUCAAGAAAUCUUACAGUAGGUAAAAUAAUAGAAUUUUUUAAUAAAUUUUUUUCC